rnacentral:rRNA from 1 species
GACGAACCGUGCGAACGUUGUUCGGAAUCACUGGGCUUAAAGGGCGCGUAGGCGGAUGACCAAGUCAGGGGUGAAAUCUUUCGGCCCAACCGGAAAAGUGCCUCUGAUACUGGUCGUCUCGAGGGAGGUAGGGGUCGAGGGAACUGGUGGUGGAGCGGUGAAAUGCGUAGAUAUCACUAGGAACGCCGGUGGCGAAAGCGCUCGACUGGACCUCUUCUGACGCUGAGGCGCGAAAGCCAGGGGAGCAAACGGG